rnacentral:ncRNA from 1 species
GUCUAAGUAUAAGCAAUUUAUACAGUGAAACUGCGAAUGGCUCAUUAAAUCAGUUAUCGUUUAUUUGAUAGUACCUUACUACUUGGAUAACCGUGGUAAUUCUAGAGCUAAUACAUGCUUAAAAUUCCGACUUUUGGAAGGGAUGUAUUUAUUAGAUAAAAGACCAAUGCUUCUUCGGAAGCUCUUUGGUGAUUCAUGAUAACUUUUCGAAUCGCAUGGCCUCGAGCCGGCGAUGGUUCAUUCAAAAUUCUGCCCUAUCAACUUUCGAUGGUAGGAUAGUGGCCUACCAUCGUUUCAACGGGUAACGGCCUAACGGGGAAUUAGGGUUCGACGUCACUUUCCGAG